rnacentral:tRNA from 1 species
GCUGUAGUUCAGUGGUAAAGCAUCUGCUCUGCAUGCAAAAACCCUAGUUUCAAUCCCUGGCCUCACCA